UACGUAGGGGGCAAGCGUUGUCCGGAAUCAUUGGGCGUAAAGAGCGCGUAGGCGGCCCUGUAAGUCCGCUGUGAAAGUCAAGGGCUCAACCCUUGAAUGCCGGUGGAUACUGCAGGGCUAGAGUCCGGAAGAGGUGAGUGGAAUUCCCAGUGUAGCGGUGAAAUGCGUAGAUAUUGGGAGGAACACCAGUGGCGAAGGCGGCUCACUGGACCGGAACUGACGCUGAGGCGCGAAAGCGUGGGGAGCAAACAGG
rnacentral:rRNA from 1 species